UGAUGGCUAUGGCUGUUGGU
rnacentral:siRNA from 1 species